rnacentral:lncRNA from 1 species
CAAAGGUCGUAGAGCCACUUUUUGUGUUGCUGACAAGACCGGAGUUUGGACCUGAUGGGCAACACAGCACGCUGCAGGUCCUUGUGAAUAUCCUAGAGCAUCCGCAGUGCCGCGCUGAUUAUACCUUGACAUCUCACCAAGCUAUAGAACCUCUUAUUCCCUUACUUGAUUCUCCUGCUUCUGCCGUGCAACAACUGGCUGCUGAGCUUCUGUCUCACCUGCUUUUGGAAGAGCACUUGCAGAAGGACCCAGUUAUCCAUCAAGUGAUUGGUCCCUUGGUACGGGUCCUUGGUUCUGGUAUACCUAUUUUGCAGCAGAGAGCUGUGAAGGCCCUAGUCUGUCUUGCACUGACUUGGCCAAAUGAAAUUGCAAAAGAAGGUGGCGUAGGUGAACUGUCUAGAGUGAUAUUGAAUGCUGACCCUUCACUCCCUCAUGCCUUGUGGGAGUCAGCUGCUGCAGUUUCUUUUAUGAUGAUGGAGGAUUCUUCUGCUGCUGCAAGACUCCUUGAGGUUUUGCUGAACAACGUGAAGAUCAGAGAAACAAAAGCCACCAAGUCAGCAAUUGUGCCCUUAUCGCAGUAUCUUUUGGAUCCCCAGACUCAAGGUCAACAAGCAAGGUUACUGGCAACUCUUGCUCUUGGUGACCUAUUCCAGAAUGAGGCUCUUGCUCGAAGCAGUGAUGCUGUUUCCGCUUGCCGGGCAUUGGUGAAUCUGCUUGAAGAUCAGCCUACUGAAGAAAUGAAAGUCGUCGCCAUUUGUGCCUUACAGAACCUUGUCAUGUAUAGCAGAUCAAAUAAGAGAGCAGUGGCAGAAGCUGG